AUCAGCACUACUUGUUAGAAAUGCCAGUUCUUGGCCCACCUCACAUCUACUGAAUCAGGAAGUCUGUGGGUGGAGACCAGCAUCCGUGCCUUAGCAAGCGCUCUGGUUAUUGUUUUGCUCUGAUACUUUGCAAAAGUAUUUCAUCUUCAAGGAGAUUUCUGGAAAGGACUUUUGACAGAAUUACUAACAGCAAAGACUGCCCUUGAAUCUCCUUGGAAGAGACUAUACCAGUUCCUCCUCACUACUCAAAUGGCAGUCAGACUCCAGGCACUUGAGCCUUGAGCCUACAUUUUGCAGCUGACAAAGACUCCACCUGUACAAAUGCUGAAGACCUCUUAUCAAACGACUAGGAUGAGAUGCAGCUGACAUCGAGGUUGACCGCUUCCUCCCAAGACACUGGAUCAAGACUUCAUGCUUUAAACCUG
rnacentral:lncRNA from 1 species